rnacentral:lncRNA from 1 species
CAGUCAUUUCCGUUCGCCGGAAGCCGCCCUCUGGGUAGCCGACUGAACCUCUCGCAGAGCCUUCCUGGUCGGAGCGGCGAGCACGCGUGAGAGUUGGGGGUGUACGCGCGACGCUCUCGGCCUUUGCCGGGAGAGGUGGGAACUUCACUCACCGGGGAUUGGGGCCGGCGUUGUCGCCUGGGAAGCGACAGCGAGGGGGUGGGAUUUCCGGAGCCGGUAACCGAGGCAGGGGAACCUUGGUGCCGGAAGGUGGAGGCGGGGCUUCCUGUAGUUCACGGGGUCGACCUGUCGCUCAGACCCCCGAACCUACUUUCCCCUAGGCCGGCAGCAGGAUGGCUGAGGAGGAGGUCCAGGGCCGCCUGUGGCUGGAGAGCCCCGCUGGGGGAGCUCCUCCCAUCUUCCUGCCUUCGAACCGGCAGGCUCUGGUCCUGGGCCGGGGUCCCCUCACCCGUGUUACGGACCGGAAGUGCUCCAGAAACCAAGGUGGGGACGGGCUUGAGCGGGAAGGGGUGUGGCCUGCUCUAGAGGCGGGAAUGAGAUCCUAAAGAAUGAUGCACCGAGGGACGCUCGGCUACUAGGCACAAUUGCGUGGUGCGUCCAGCCCAGGGGUCGAUUGGUGCCUUCUGGGGAGCGCAGAAGGAGAGGUUGUACCUGACCUUGGGGAAGAGGGUGUGGUGCCAACCCCGGGAGAAUUGUCAGUGGGCACAGGAGGCUGCUCUCGGGCCAUUUGAAGGUUUAAAACUGGCCACCACCUUUGUGAAGAGAGGUGAUCCUACAGAGAAAAGUAAAAGCCGGGUGGACGUGGACGGUAACAGGGCAAGCCCAGGGCCUGCGUCAAGCCUCACUUAUUAUUAUUUAUAUGAAAGUGUCUGCCCUGUUCAUAGGCAAGGACCAUGCCACGCGCAGUCCUAGGGACUCUCGCAGUGGGAUCCAAUCCCAUUGAGAAAUAAACUGUCUCUUACUCCUGUCUCUUNUUCCUACUAACCCCACAACUGGGAACGAUUGUCUCCACUUUAUAGUUGCGGAUUUAACUGCAGCAUCGGGGGUAAAACAAAAGUAGGAUAGAUGACUAAGGGGCCUGAAUUUCUUUUACUGACGAUGGUCGUCAAGUCGGAAAGCUUCCUCCUGUUGCAAUUUUCUCCAGCAAAGAAGAUUAAAAUAAGAGGAUAACGUGUAAAGGGAAAAAAAUCUAUGGAUGGAGGAUCCACUCCGCCUAACGGCCUGAGGCGCGCGAUGCCGCAAGAGGGAAGAGGUUCUUCCCUCUUGAGCGGCAGAAGGACCCUAAGCACUGGAGGGGGCGGGGCUAGGACAGUCAUUUCCGUUCGCCGGAAGCCGCCCUCUGGGUAGCCGACUGAACCUCUCGCAGAGCCUUCCUGGUCGGAGCGGCGAGCACGCGUGAGAGUUGGGGGUGUACGCGCGACGCUCUCGGCCUUUGCCGGGAGAGGUGGGAACUUCACUCACCGGGGAUUGGGGCCGGCGUUGUCGCCUGGGAAGCGACAGCGAGGGGGUGGGAUUUCCGGAGCCGGUAACCGAGGCAGGGGAACCUUGGUGCCGGAAGGUGGAGGCGGGGCUUCCUGUAGUUCACGGGGUCGACCUGUCGCUCAGACCCCCGAACCUACUUUCCCCUAGGCCGGCAGCAGGAUGGCUGAGGAGGAGGUCCAGGGCCGCCUGUGGCUGGAGAGCCCCGCUGGGGGAGCUCCUCCCAUCUUCCUGCCUUCGAACCGGCAGGCUCUGGUCCUGGGCCGGGGUCCCCUCACCCGUGUUACGGACCGGAAGUGCUCCAGAAACCAAGGUGGGGACGGGCUUGAGCGGGAAGGGGUGUGGCCUGCUCUAGAGGCGGGAAUGAGAUCCUAAAGAAUGAUGCACCGAGGGACGCUCGGCUACUAGGCACAAUUGCGUGGUGCGUCCAGCCCAGGGGUCGAUUGGUGCCUUCUGGGGAGCGCAGAAGGAGAGGUUGUACCUGACCUUGGGGAAGAGGGUGUGGUGCCAACCCCGGGAGAAUUGUCAGUGGGCACAGGAGGCUGCUCUCGGGCCAUUUGAAGGUUUAAAACUGGCCACCACCUUUGUGAAGAGAGGUGAUCCUACAGAGAAAAGUAAAAGCCGGGUGGACGUGGACGGUAACAGGGCAAGCCCAGGGCCUGCGUCAAGCCUCACUUAUUAUUAUUUAUAUGAAAGUGUCUGCCCUGUUCAUAGGCAAGGACCAUGCCACGCGCAGUCCUAGGGACUCUCGCAGUGGGAUCCAAUCCCAUUGAGAAAUAAACUGUCUCUUACUCUCUCCGGAAUGGAUGCUGUAGCUCCAUUCUGUGGCCUGAAACUGGCCACCGCUCCCCAGUAUGAGGGGGCCCUUCACACAAGGAUGUGAUCCUGACCCCACCCCCUCAUCCCCUAGUGGAGCUGGUUGCAGACCCUGAGACCCGGACAGUGGCUGUGAAACAGGUACCAGUGCUUCAGCAAGGGGCAGCAGUGUCUGGGGGUAGGGUCUGGAGGGGAAUUGCAAACUGGCAGGGGGUAGACCCAUUAGAAAACUGGCCAGAAGAAGGGGGUGUGCUGGUGAAAAAGAGUUGUCGGCUUUAUUUGGGUAUCCAUCUGUCCCCUUUCAACUGGGCAAGACUGGAAGCCUAUAAGGGUCUGAUUGGUAGGUGGACUAAAUCACCCUGUGGUAUUGGGGGGGGGGAGGUUCUCACAGUGGGUGGAGCUGGUCCCAGCCCCUCCCUCUUUCUCUGCAGCUGGGCGUUAACCCUUCAACUGCUGGAACCCAGCAGUUGAAACCAGGGUUGGAGGGCUCUCUGGGGGUGGGGGACACACUAUAUUUGGUCAAUGGCCUCCACCCACUGACCCUGCGCUGGAAAGAGACCCAUACAUCAGGAUCCCAGCCAGAUACUCCGCCUGGCACCUCUCCAGUAGCUUCAGAUGAAGAGCAGGAGAAGGAUGCUAAGCAGCAGAAAAAGCGCUUAAGGAAGUCAUCCCCUGGCUGGGAGAGCUUGGAGAAGCUGCUAGUGUUCACAGCACCUGGGGUGAAGCCUCGGGGCAAGGUGAGGCUGCUGGAGGUUCUGCCCUAGGCCGGGCAUUCAGUCUGAACUUCAAAUGUGAUCCUAGGCAAGGCUGUCAGCCUCUUAGCCUUGGGGGAAGUGUGGGUUGGUCCCUGCUGCCCCUUGGUAGACACCCAGGAAUCAGCAGGAUGACCAGGAACAGGUCAGCAGGGGCUCUUCAGACUGCACUUAGAUGUGGUCAAGGCCAUGCUGAGUCUACAUCUCACCUCUGAAAUGAUGACUUCCCAAAAAGUAUGUGGCCUUGGUCCCUGACAGGCAGUGGGCACCCCAAAAAAGCUUUGCUCUGGUUUUAUUUCCCCUGUAGUUAUUAAUCUCCAAGGUGUAAAAGCCCAGGGGAGGAGAUCGGGUAAGAAACUAAUUCUCAUUUUGAUACUAGAAAUGCAGAGGUGGGGUGGACACAGGAGUGACAGGACAGUAGGAUUUCAGGUGAUGUGUCUGUGCCUCAUCCCUGUUGGGUCAUAUCUACAGAAAACCAUCUCCCUGCAUCAAAGUGUUAUUGUGACUCAUCCUGUGAGUGAAGAGACAGGUGUCUCAAUGCUGCCCCUCCUCUGUUCUUGGUGACACCAGGUAGCUGCCUUUGAUUUGGAUGGGACCCUCAUCACCACCCGCUCUGGGAAGGUGUUUCCCACUGGCCCCAGUGACUGGAGGUGAGGAGGGGCAAGGGAAGGGAGUGAGUGGAGCUGGUUGACCCCUCCAGGCCCCAGGUCACUUGUCCACUUCCGACCCAUUCUAGGGUCUUGUACCUAGAGAUUCCACGCAAGCUGAAGGAGUUGGAAGCAGAAGGCUACAAGGUCUGUGCCUAUGUGAGCAAGCGCGACAGGGUCUCUGAUGAGGAGGCCCUGGUGACAUUGUCUGCUCCCUAGCUGGUGAUCUUCACCAACCAGAUGGGCAUUGGACGAGGGAAACUGCCAGCAGAGGAGUUCAAGGCCAAGGUGGAGGCUGUGGUAGAGAAGCUGGGGGUUCCCUUUCAGGUAUGACUAGAAUGGAGGCUAGGGCCAGGGUAGGGUAACAAAGACCCUUGGGUGGGAGACAAACCCAGAGAGAGUCCCUGGGAUGUAUGGGACAGAGGCCUCUGCUGGGGUCAAGCCAUGAGCAGUUGUCAUGAGCUGUAUAUCCCAGAGCAUGGGCAGCUCUCUGGGGCUUGGUACCCAGCUCUUUGGGGCUUGGAAGAGCUGAGGAUGGUGUGUGACCCCUGCCCCACUUCAGGUGCUGGUGGCUACACAUGCAGGCCUGUAUCGGAAGCCGGUGACUGGCAUGUGGGACCAUCUGCAGGAGCAGGUGAGCUGUACCUCCUCUUCCCCUUGCUCUAGCCCCUGUUUCUUAGGGCUUGUUCUUUCUCUCCUCCCUUAGUCCUUGUCAUGUGGUUUAGCUGUCAGGUCCUAGGUGCUGGUAUAUGAGGUCAGUACCAUUAAGCUGAAGUCAGAGGUUGCAUCAGGAGCAGAGACAGGAGGGUAAGUUUGAGUCAGCCUGGGCAACUUAGGGAGACCCUGUCUCAAACUAUAAAAUAAGCCGGGCACAGUGUCGCAUGAAUGAAAUCCCAGCGGCUCAGGAGGCUGAGGCUGAGUUCAAAGGCAGCUGAUCAAACUCACUGAUCAGGAGUUCAAAGCUGGCCUCAGCAAAGGUGAAGCACUAAGCAACUCAGUGAGACCCUGUCUCUAAAUAAAAUACAAAAUAGGGCUGGGGAUGUGGCUCAGCUGUAGAGCACCUGCCUAGCAUGUCUGAGUCACUGGGUUCCAUCCCUAGUACCACCAAAAAAAAAAAAAAAUCAGUGGUUGAGAUUGUUAAUUCAUUCAACCAAUGGUUUGUUCUGAGCUGAAAAUCCUGGUAAAUAAUAGUGGCAUGCCUGCUGUAGCAGUACUCGUAGACCGCUGAUGGCAGCCAGCUAUAAAUGCACACAUGAGUAUAAAAUAGGAAGUAGGGUGUGAUUUUCCUACGGUAGACAGGGGGACGUCUCUAAGAAGGUGACAAAUUGAGUAAAAGUCUAAGGGAGGUGAGGGAAGAAGCCACAUGGAUAUCUGCAGAAGUGGUCCUGGCCAGAGUGACAGCUGGUGUGAAGGCCCCGAGCCUUGCGUGUUCACCAGUGCGGAUGCCCACCUGGUGGACCCAGGUGAGUGAGAGGGUGGGGCCUCGCCUUGGGGCCACGGGAGCAGAGUAGGAACGCGUGUGGGGUCUAAGUGGGGAUGGGAGCCUGGAAGCCUAUCCGCUCUGGCCUGAGUCUAGGCAGUGAAGCGUGAGAAGCGCUGCAAUGGUGAGGACUUGAGAGGUUUGAGAUCUGGCCUGAUGCAGGGAACAGACCAAGAGGAGCUGCCCCAGGGAGCCCUUUACUGCAGAGGGACAGUUGUUAGGAGUAGGUUCUAUUUGUCUCUCCAGGCCAACGAGGGCGUGCCCAUCUCUAUGGGGGACAGCAUCUUCGUGGGAGGUAAGGGCUUGGGGCUGCUGCGGGUGGGCCAAGACCCUUCUCUCCAAACCUGCUGGCAGUGAAGGGUAUCCUCGUGCGUUCCAGAUGCAGCAGGCCGCCCAGCCAACUGGGCCCCUGGCCGUAAGAAGAAAGACUUUUCCUGCGCUGACCGAUUGGUGAGCAGGUGACCGAUUGGGGAUCGGUCACCAAUGGUGAGCCCCGCACCCCGCCCUCGAUCUCUGCCUCACCUCUGCCUUUGCCCCAGUUUGCGCUCAACCUUGGCCUGCCCUUCGCCACCCCGGAGGAGUUCUUCCUUAAGCAGCCCACAGCAGCCUUUGUCCUCCCAGCAUUUGACCCGGUGAGGCCCGAGGGGUGGAAGGCAGGGAACAAGCAGGGGAAUGAGGGUCUCAACUUCUUGUUCCACCCCUCCUAGAGGACUGUCUCCUGCUCAGGGCCUCUCUGCCUCCCAGAGUCCAGCUCCCUCCUGAGCUCUGACCCAGAGGUGGUUGUCGCCGUGGGAUUCCCUGGGGGUGAGAUAUCCUGAUCCCCAUCUCUGGGUGCUGUAAGUGUCCUUCUGGGUCCUGGGUAUCCACUGAUAGUGAUUUUGUGCCUCUCAGCUGGGAAGUCCACCUUCCUCAAGAAACAUCUCGUGUCAGCUGGGUACGUCCACGUGAACAGGGUAAGAGGCUGCCGCGCCCCAUCCCACUGGUUCAUUCCCUGGCUGCCCCAACCGGGCCUUCAGGGCUGCCGCCCAGCACCCCUGCCUCCCCCUGCAGUUCUGAUUUGUUGCCCUGCCCCCACCAGGACACCCCUUCAUCUUCUAUUCCCUAUUGGGCAAUUCCUGCUUGUGACCUGCUCUCCUCUGUCCCCAGGAUACAAUAGGCUCCUGGCAGCGCUGUGUGAGCACCUGUGAGGCAGCUCUGAAGCAGAGGAAACGCGUGGUGAUCGACAACACAAAUCCAGACAUCCCAACCAGGGCCAGGUACUUGGCCCCAUGGGAGGUCUCUAGUAGGGCUGGCAAGGGCCUGGUGACAGCGCUUUCCUGGCCUCAACAGGUAUGUCCAGUGUGCCAGGGAUGCAGGUGUUCCCUGCCGUUGUUUCCUCUUCACUGCCACAUUGGAGCAGGCUCGCCACAACAACCGGGUGAGCCCCUGCCCUCCCCCUCCCUCCUGCCCUGCCCUGCCCCUCCCUCCCCGAUGGCCUCACUCUGAACCAUCCCCUAACAGUUCCGGGAGAUGACUGGCUCCUCUCACACACCAGUGUCAGAUGUCGUCAUAUUCGGCUACAGGUACCUCUAGUUAGUAGGCUGUGGGCUGGUAGGGCCUGGCCUCUCCUUACCACCUUCUCUGCCACCAGGAAACAGUUCGAAGCUCCUACGGUGGCGGAAGGCUUCUCUGCAAUCCUGGAGAUCCCAUUCCAGCUGCAGCUAGAGCCGCAACUAGAGCGACUCUACCGGCAGUUCUCUGAGGGCUGAGUUGCCCAGCCCCAUGCUCCCCUCCCUGACCUGGCAAUAAAUGCUAUUUUUCUCCAAGCUUGGCCAGCAUUUUGCUGGGAGGAAGGGUGGUCGUCUUGGAGGUGCGUCACCAGGCCUAGGCCAACCCCACGCCCCCACACACACACGCGCGCGCGCGCACACUUUUCUACAUUUUCAGGUUAACAGAAAAGGAGGGACCUGGACUGGCUCAGGCUGCUCCUCUGCACAUCUCAUGUUCUACACCAAACCACUCCACCCACCUUGGGCUGUGGAAAGGUGUCACUAGGAGGUUGUCAUGAGCAGGUCAAACAAGAGACUGAGAUGAGACAUGGGAAUGUAGGACAUUGAAUGGGCCCCUAUAAGCUAGCCAGAGCUUGGCUCAAGAUGGCCCAUGAGGGCACAGUGAUUGCAAGCUUGCCUAAUCAUGUGUGAGGCCCUGCAUUCAACUCCCAGUACUGCAUGAGGACAAAAUAUCCAGGGCUCAGGUUCUAUUGCAUUGGACUUGAACGCAGGGGAUGUGGGUCUUGGACCUGCCUAUGGAUCCCCCCUCCAGCUACAGGAGGCAAAAACGCCCCUGACCUAUGCUUUCUUACAGGUAAGUCCAGGGGAAAGAAACCAUGAGCACUACCUGCAAGGUCCUGGCACCAGGUACUGGAAACAGAGAACCAACACACGGCUUCAUGCUUCUGACACAAAGGCCCCAGGAGGUGAGGCCACC